rnacentral:lncRNA from 1 species
AGUUGCUGGGGAAGAUCUUCCAUGUGAUCAUCCAGUGACACAGCUCCUUCAGUCUUGUGGCUUCAUCCUCCUCCCAUUCAGCUGAUUGAAGGGGAAAGGGUGAGAGAAUGCAGAUUUGCAUGUGGGAGGUUUUAAAGGGCUAGACCUGGAAAGGAAUGCAUCAUUUCUGGGCUUAUUCUCUGGCCAACACUCAGCCACAUGGCCACACCCAAGUGCAAGGGAGGCUGGAAAAGGUAAUCUAGCUCUGGGACCAAGAAGAAAGAGAAGCAGGAUUUGGAAAACCCAUGGGACUCUCUGCGAAAUACACCAUUUCCCCAAUCCCACACCAGGAAACAUGACUUCAGACAGGAUCCCAGAAGUUUCCAGGUGGCAGCUGAACAGGAGCCCAGCUGCAGUGGGGGAUCUGGGAGGCAGAAGAAGCUAGAAGUGAAGACUGCUCACUUCCAACCUCAAUGUGGGCAGGAGCGCUGUCUGAGCCUACUCAUAGUCUCAUUUACACCUGCAAAAGAAGUAACAUACGGAACCCUGUGAAUUAGGCUGACUUCAUCCUGGAAUCACAGCGGGGCUUAAGGUCCCAGACCGCCAGCAGUAUGGAGAAUGGAGCCAGUAGAGGUGAUUUCUCCAUUUUUGCCUCUUCGUGAGCCUCACCAGCCCAGGCAUGAUGCUCUUUUCCACCUCCUAGGACUUCCCACUCUGACACAGGUCACCCAGUGGCAGAACCUACUCCUCCACACAUCCAUCAGGGGCUCUGUCAACAGCCCCUGAAGCAGGUGCAGACCUGGAAGACUCCGUUUCGUGGUCUGGCACUUCGGCUCCACACUCAUUUUCUACCUUGCUGCUGCAGCUACUGUUCUCCCUUGUGCUCUCUGAAACCACUGCUGACAGAUCCUGAGUGGCCCCUGGCAAAUAGGUAUUCUCAUUAGUGUAAUGUGUCAGUUAAGAGAACCCAGUUACACUAAUUUUCCUCUUUGGGGAUAUUGUGGGACAUCAGUUAUUAUUUCCUGAUUGUUCUAAUUCAGUAGUUUAGUCUAUUGCAAGGGAUUACAUCAAAGAAUGUUUGUCUUCCCAAAAGCAUUAUUGCCAUUUUUGAUCUACAAAAAGUAUUCUAUAUUAAUUUGGUUUUGAUCUAAAAAAGGUAUUCUAUAUUAAACUGGGAGAGUAAAGAAUAAAUGCUCAUAGAUAAAUUCUGAUUAUUUCCUCUCUUCUUAUGGAAUGUUUUUAUAAAAACCUCCAGCCUGAAAAUUCUUUUCCUGCAGCUCUUUGUCUGACCUAUGUUGUCAGAAUUUGGUGUAUGCUAUUCAAACCUGUUCCCACUUUAAUCUCUAGGGCAUUGAGAAUAUAACCUAAAGAAGAUAUAAUCCUAAAAAAUUAAACUAUAGCUUUUAGGAGGUAAAACCACCGUGAAAAAUUAAAAUCUACUUCAGUGCACAUAAAAUAGUUAGAAGAGACUUCCCAAGGCUCAUACUUCAAGGACAAAUGAUAGGAAAACUAAUAGCUAUGUUCAAGGUUGCAGGUAUCUUCUCCAUCCUCACAAUGGACUGUAGAUACCAGGUUUAGAAUGCUACUGAAACCUAUUACAAUCAAUAAUAAUAAUCAUAAAAAAGCAUGUCCCUAUAACUCCAUGGAACUACUUUCCAUAAAUUUUUACUUAAUGGAAUUGAACUGAAAGUGGUUCUAGGUAUUCAUAGCGCUCUUGUUGCCAUGUGGGGACACAGCACAAGAAGCUCCCUUAAUUAUCAAACCUCAAGGUCAAGGAGAAGAGAAAGACUGCCUUUUUGUUUCCUCCUGUCCUGAAAUGUGGCAGUGUGCUAAGUGGCCACACUGAAGGAAGGCAAGAAACAAAGACAUAAACAGCAAACAUCGUCCCCAGGAAAAGCAGGCAGAACAUGCAAUGGAACAAAUAUAUCAUAUAUACCGCAUCUUCUUUAUUCAUUCUUCCGUUAAUGGACACUUUGGUUGUGUCCGAGUCUUGACUCUUGUGAAUAAUGCUGCAGCGAACAUAGGGGUACAGAUAUCUUUUCAAAUCAGAGGCUAAAUGGGGGGGAGAGCAAAAGGAGUAAUGGGCACAUGUGUAUAGUGACAGAUGGCAACUAGACUUCUGGUGGUGAAUACAAUGUUGUCUAUACAGAAGUCGAAAUAUAAUGAUGUAACCUGAAAUUUAUAUAAUUUUAUAAACCAAUUUUACCUGAAAAAAAAAUAGGAGAACAAAUAUAUAAUGUAUCCAAAGGAAAUGGAAAAAGCACUUUCCCCUUGUUAUAAAUAAACAGAAUAAAAUCGCCAGCAGAAGAAAAGUGUGCACACAAUGGAAGGCCUUCUGUACUGUGUGAUUCAUUAUCCCUGUAUUUUUGCAGUGAUACACUUCUCUUUGAUUCCGUAUGCCAGGCUACUGGUACCUAAUUAAAAAUAAGACUGUGUAAAAAGAAAGGUGAAAACAAACAUUAAGCGAAAUGAUCAAAUUUCUCUGAAGGAAGUUGAGGGGCACCAACGAUUGCUUUAAAUCAC